GGCUCAAUGAUUACAUGCCUGAUUUUGGCAAUAUACGCUAUACUGAGUGAUGUGUUAUAUCACUAAGCUGAUAACUUUAUUAUGAGAGCU